CAGGGAGACAACAAAAUGUUUAAUAUUAUUAUUUUGUCACCUUAGGUCGAUCGGUAUCUCACGUUCUUAAUUUAUUAAGGAUUUCAUUCCCUAAGUUUUUUCUAGGUCACACCCAUUAUUUUCCUGGGCCAUUAGCUCAGGUGGUUAGAGCGCACCCCUGAUAAGGGUGAGGUCCCUGGUUCAAGUCCAGGAUGGCCCAUAUCUCUAUGUUGGGGGUAUAGCUCAGUUGGUAGAGCGCCUGCUUUGCAAGCAGGAUGUCAGCGGUUCGAGUCCGCUUACCUCCACUGAUCACCACCUCUUCCAUAACUGGUAGAAAGGAAAUUUUUUGAGUUGUGAUCAAAUUCUGAAAGAAUCUAGCUUCCUAAUGAAAUCAUUAAGAUGCUGGACUCAUUGAAUUAAUUUCAUUGUUUUCAGAGAACCUUGACAACUGCAUAGAUUAUUUUUAAAGACAAUAAGCAUCUUUAAUGAUGCAGAUUUAUUAUUUGUGCAAAUGCAUUAAUAACAAUUCUAUUAAGCUGAUGCUUCAAUAUUUGAAGUUAUU
rnacentral:tRNA from 1 species